AUUGAACGCUGGCGGCAGGCUUAACACAUGCAAGUCGAGCGAGCGGCGGACGGGUGAGUAAUGUCUGGGAAACUGCCUGAUGGAGGGGGAUAACUACUGGAAACGGUAGCUAAUACCGCAUACCAUCAGAUGUGCCCAGAUGGGAUUAGCUAGUAGGGGGGGUAAUGGAUAACCUAGGCGACGAUCCCUAGCUGGUCUGAGAGGAUGACCAGACACACUGGAACUGAGACACGGAACAGAAUCCGACGGGAGGCAGCAGUGGGGAAUAUUGCACAAUGGGCGCAAGCAUGAUGCAGCCAUGCCGCGUGUGUGAAGAAGGCCUUCGGGUUGUAAAGCACUUUCAGCGAGGAGGCGUUACUCGCAGAAGAUGCACCGGCUAACUCCGUACCAGCAGCCGCGGUAAUUC
rnacentral:rRNA from 1 species